rnacentral:rRNA from 1 species
UACGAGGGGAGCUAGCGUUGUUCGGAAUUACUGGGCGUAAAGCGCGCGUAGGCGGCUUUUUAAGUCAGAGGUGAAAGCCCGGGGCUCAACCCCGGAAUUGCCUUUGAAACUGGAAAGCUAGAAUCUUGGAGAGGUCAGUGGAAUUCCGAGUGUAGAGGUGAAAUUCGUAGAUAUUCGGAAGAACACCAGUGGCGAAGGCGACUGACUGGACAAGUAUUGACGCUGAGGUGCGAAAGCGUGGGGAGCAAAC